GGAACCACAACAGGGUUUGGCAGCCUUGGGGCUUCUUGGGAUCUCAUCGCAGUUCGGGCCCUGCCUGCACAAAAAUGGAGCCCCUGCUUCUCUGAGCCUGAGUUUCCCAUCUGUACCAGGAGUAGGAUACUAAUUGAACUGCACCCUGAGCCAUUUGUGGACUAAGUGGGAGGCCCGCGCGGUGAAGAUGACAAGUCCAGGCCCCCACAGAAUCGAGGUCCAGCAGAGACGGCAGCUGCGGAGCAGAGAUUGCGAGGCCCACAAUUGCAAAGACGGGCAGGGCGCUCGGCUCGAACAGCAGGGCUUCUGUGCUCCGGCUCAGUGCGGGUUUCCCUGAGGCCACCUGAAUGCUGUCACCUGCAUCCAUCACGGCCGGCUGGAGGUUACUCGCAACCGCCUUGAGCCCAUUGCUUUUCCAGGAAAACGACCCUGAAUUCAAAUGCACUUUCACACCCAGCCCUGCAGUUCAGCGACACAAACACCCUCCCACCUCCCGAGCAGAGCCACUUGGUUGCUCCCUCCUCUGCUACAGUCCUGCCAGUACUGUUGCCCAGCAGCUCUGGGCCCAUCUGUCUGCUUCCCUGGAAUUGAUUACGAGCAUGUAUCCUGGAACCAGGCUUCCGAGGUUCGAAUACCAGCUCUACCACGUACCAGCUGCGUGACUUCAGUCUCCUCAUUGGUCAAUUGGUAAAAAUUGGGACUGCAGCAACACCAGUCAAUAUGGCUAUUAGGAGAAUUCAAUGAAGUAACAUUCAACGAGAGUCAUUAUUAUUCUUAUCAUCAAGCUCUGUCUUCGGUAUCCAGCAUCA